UGCACUCAAUUGGAAAGAGGAGUGGCGGACGGGUGAGUAACACGUGGGUAACCUACCCAUCAGAGGGGGAUAACACUUGGAAACAGGUGCUAAUACCGCAUAACAGUUUAUGCCGCAUGGCAUAAGAGUGAAAGGCGCUUUCGGGUGUCGCUGAUGGAUGGACCCGCGGUGCAUUAGCUAGUUGGUGAGGUAACGGCUCACCAAGGCCACGAUGCAUAGCCGACCUGAGAGGGUGAUCGGCCACACUGGGACUGAGACACGGCCCAGACUCCUACGGGAGGCAGCAGUAGGGAAUCUUCGGCAAUGGACGAAAGUCUGACCGAGCAACGCCGCGUGAGUGAAGAAGGUUUUCGGAUCGUAAAACUCUGUUGUUAGAGAAGAACAAGGACGUUAGUAACUGAACGUCCCCUGACGGUAUCUAACCAGAAAGCCACGGCUAACUACGUGCCAGCAGCCGCGGUAAUACGUAGGUGGCAAGCGUUGUCCGGAUUUAUUGGGCGUAAAGCGAGCGCAGGCGGUUUCUUAAGUCUGAUGUGAAAGCCCCCGGCUCAACCGGGGAGGGUCAUUGGAAACUGGGAGA
rnacentral:rRNA from 1 species